GCCCCCGUAGCUCAGGGGAUAGAGCACCGCCCUCCGGAGGCGGGAGCGGGCGUUCGAAUCGCCCCGGGGGCG
rnacentral:tRNA from 1 species